AUUGAACGCUGGCGGCAGGCCUAACACAUGCAAGUCGAAUGGUAACAGGAAACAGCUUGCUGUUUCGCUGACGAGUGGCGGACGGGUGAGUAAUGUCUGGGAAACUGCCUGAUGGAGGGGGAUAACUACUGGAAACGGUAGCUAAUACCGCAUAACGUCGCAAGACCAAAGAGGGGGACCUUUGGGCCUCUUGCCAUCAGAUGUGCCCAGAUGGGAUUAGCUAGUAGGUGGGGUAACGGCUCACCUAGGCGACGAUCCCUAGCUGGUCUGAGAGGAUGACCAGCCACACUGGAACUGAGACACGGUCCAGACUCCUACGGGAGGCAGCAGUGGGGAAUAUUGCACAAUGGGCGCAAGCCUGAUGCAGCCAUGCCGCGUGUAUGAAGAAGGCCUUCGGGUUGUAAAGUACUUUCAGCGGGGAGGAAGGGAGUAAAGUUAAUACCUUUGCUCAUUGACGUUACCCGCAGAAGAAGCACCGGCUAACUCCGUG
rnacentral:rRNA from 1 species